AUUGAACGCUGGCGGCAGGCCUAACACAUGCAAGUCGAGCGGCAGCGGGGGGAAGCUUGCUUCCCCGCCGGCGAGCGGCGGACGGGUGAGUAAUGUCUGGGAAACUGCCUGAUGGAGGGGGAUAACUACUGGAAACGGUAGCUAAUACCGCAUAACGUCGCAAGACCAAAGAGGGGGACCUUCGGGCCUCUUGCCAUCGGAUGUGCCCAGAUGGGAUUAGCUAGUAGGUGGGGUAAAGGCUCACCUAGGCGACGAUCCCUAGCUGGUCGGAGAGGAUGACCAGCCACACUGGAACUGAGACACGGUCCAGACUCCUACGGGAGGCAGCAGUGGGGAAUAUUGCACAAUGGGCGCAAGCCUGAUGCAGCCAUGCCGCGUGUGUGAAGAAGGCCUUCGGGUUGUAAAGCACUUUCAGCGGGGAGGAAGGGAGCAGACUUAAUACGUCUGUUCAUUGACGUUACCCGCAGAAGAAGCACCGGCUAACUCCGUGCCAGCAGCCGCCGUAAUAC
rnacentral:rRNA from 1 species